UUAUGGCAAAUGUCGAUAAUACUCCAAUAAUCUCCUCUACUGACGACGAUGUAGAAGAAUUGAUUCUCGCAACAUUGUUGAUAGUACAAUAUCAUUAUUCCAGCGAUUUAUACACUAGAGAACCACGUAGGGAUAGUGCAUUCACAGGGGCAGCAUGGGUACAUGAGGUGUUGCAUGGGCAUGCAAACCGCUGUUACGAAGAAUUUGGCAUGGAACGACAUGUGUUUUUAAAUUUAUGCCUACUAAUGAGACAUCGUGGUUGGUUACAAGACAGUCGCAAAAUUAGGGUAGAUGAGCAAUUGGCAAUGUUCAUGUUCAGAAUAACAGGUGUAGGUCCUACUAAUUGAGCAGUUGAGGAGAGAUUCCAACAUUCAGGACAGACUGUCAGCUAUUACUUUGGCAAAGUAUUGCAAGGGGUGCUUAAGCUUUCUAAGGAGUAUAUCAAAGCCCCAUCGUUUGAUGAGAUUCCUAUGGAAAUAAUUGCAAACAACAAAUGGUGGCCAUAUUUUAAGGAUUGCAUUGGUGCCAUAGAUGGUACACAUGUUACGGCUAUAGUUCCCAAGGGAAAACAGAUCCCAUAUCGAGGACGGAAGGGGAUAACAACCCAAAAUGUGAUGUGUGCCUGCUCGUUUGACAUGAAAUUCACUUUUGUAUAUGCGGGUUGAGAAGGCAAUGCAAAUGAUUGUCGUGUAUUCAAUAGAGCCCUAGAGGAUCCUACUUUACGAUUUCCUCAUCCUCCCCAAGGGAAGUAUUACGUUGUAGACUCAGGAUAUGCGAGUAGGAAUG